UCUCUCUCUCUCUCAUAUGGGAGUCUUUUAACUAAAUGCAACGCAUACGGUUUGAGAUGUUACUUUUUGUAUUCAGGGAUGGGCAUGAACCCAUUGGAAAUUUAAUAUAUUUUUUCGAUGAAAAUUUGAACUUUAUGGUUAAUGCUUAAUUACAUUUAAUAAAUCCUCCCCCCCACCCCAACAUUUUGCUUACAGAAUUGCAACAAACGUCAUCAAUAAAUGCCAACAGUCGACUUUUUUAUAUUUUUAUUUGUAUUUCUUACAAAUUUCUCUCGCAGGCUAACUGUAAAAAGAAAUGAACACAGAAAAAAAAAACCCAGAAAACAAGAAUUAGCCGCUUAUCUGACAGUAACGAUACAAGGCUCCCUUUAGCAAGAAAAGUAACCAUAAUCCCUUCAUUCGUCGCUCUUACGGAUGCACGCAACCAGGUAUCCACCCCUCCUCAAAGAAGUGGUAGAAAGUUCCAGGUACCUGCUCUGAAAAGAUGUAGGAUAGAAUUAACUAGAGCUGAAGUCGUAUUUUAACCAUUUUAUUCAGUUUUUUUUUUUUUUUUUUCGUGCUGUAUUUACUCAUGGAAUAAAAAACACUUAUUUAGCUAUUGCAUCGUCAGUGUAGUUUCUUGUACUCUUUUAUUAUUAUUAUUAUUAUUAUUAUUAUUAUUAUUAUUAUUAUUAUUAUUAUUAUUAUUAUUAUUACUACGGGAAAUAAGAUGAGUUUUCUCAGGUGCUGUGUGAUCAUAUCCAAACUGAUUAUUGAAUUUCGACAACCAUUCCUCCUUACUGUCUUCAUAUAUUCAGGGCAUGUUUGACCUAGCAGUCCAUGUGUAUGUUUGAUCCAAUGGGUAUGUUUGACCUAGCAUCCCAUGGGUAUGUUUUGACCUAGCAAUCCAUGGGUAUGUUUGACCUAGCUGUCCAUGGGUAUGUUUGACUUUGCUGUCCAUGGUAUGGUUUGACCCAGCAUUCCAUGGGUAUGUUUGACCUAGCUGUCCAUGGUAUGGUUUGACCCAGCAUUCCAUGGGUAUUGUUGACCUAGCUGUCCAUGGUAUGGUUUGACCUAGCAAUCUAUGGGUAUGUUUGACUUUGAUGUCCAUGGUAUGGUUUGACCUAGCAGUUCCAUGGGUAUGUUUGACCUAACAGAGUUGUCUGAACGAGUAUGUAUUAUCAGGGGCUUCCAAUAUGUACCAUAAAUACGUCCGUCCUGGUGUAUUCUCUCGUUGCGAGUGUGCAUGUAAAUGCAAAGAGUGGGUAUGCAUGCGCGUUAUUUACACAUGCGCAUACAUGUAUACACGUUUGAGGUAUACAUUAUUUUUGGAAAAUUGUCUUUUGUGUAGAAUUGCUUAUCUGUUUCUUUCAUGUUUUUUUUGUGGCGACGUUCAUAACGUUUUUGGGUCACGUCCAAUUGUUUUGAUUUGCCAAAAUAUUGAAAGUGAUUUUGUGUAAAGUGAUUUUGACAGAGCUGUUUUCCUCUUGAUCAAGCGCCCGACCCCGAGAGGGUCCAUCUGUAAAGUGCAAAUAAAGCCCAUGUUCACUUUGUGUAUCUGUAGAAUAAUGCUCCUUAUUGAACUUGAUGAUUUGUGCCAAAAUGCUGUAAAUAUUGUACAGAAGUGUUGCUGAUGAAUAAUAUGUCUAAUAAUGAGAAUAAAAAUGAUGUUAAUGAAGUGAAA